rnacentral:rRNA from 1 species
UCGCCUGUUUAUCAAAAACAUCUCUAAAUUUUAGUAAAACCUGCUCAAUGAGUAAUUUAAUAGCCGCUGUAUCACUGACAGUGCAAAGGUAGCAUAAUAAUUUGCUUUUUAAUUGAAAGAUAGAAUGAAAGGAUAAAUUCUAGUAUUUAUGUUUAAUUUCACAAUUUAAAAUAGAAUUUAAGUUAAAAUCCUUAAAAAAAAUUAAAGAAAGAAAAGACCCUAAAAUUUAAAUAAAUUGUCUGGGGAAGAUAAUAAAUAAAAAUUAUUAUCUCUUAAAAUUAAGAGAUAAAAAAAAUACUUUAGGGUUAACAGCUAUUUAAACAAGAGAUCAUAUCUAAUAUAUAUAAUAGACCUCGAUGUUGAAUUAAAAUAACUAUAUCUAGAAUAAAAGAUAUAAGUAAGUUUGUUCAACUUAAAAAUUUUACGUGAUCUGAGUUCAGACCGGA